GCUAGUUGGUGGGGUAAAGGCUUACCAAGGCAAUGAUGCGUAGCCGAACUGAGAGGUUGAUCGGCCACAUUGGGACUGAGACACGGCCCAAACUCCUACGGGAGGCAGCAGUAGGGAAUCUUCCACAAUGGGCGAAAGCCUGAUGGAGCAACGCCGCGUGGGUGAAGAAGGUCUUCGGAUCGUAAAACCCUGUUGUUAGAGAAGAAAGUGCGUGAGAGUAACUGUUCACGUUUCGACGGUAUCUAACCAGAAAGCCACGGCUAACUACGUGCCAGCAGCCGCGGUAAUACGUAGGUGGCAAGCGUUAUCCGGAUUUAUUGGGCGUAAAGGGAACGCAGGCGGUCUUUUAAGUCUGAUGUGAAAGCCUUCGGCUUAACCGGAGUAGUGCAUUGGAAACUGGGAGACUUGAGUGCAGAAGAGGAGAGUGGAACUCCAUGUGUAGCGGUGAAAUGCGUAGAUAUAUGGAAGAACACCAGUGGCGAAAGCGGCUCUCUGGUCUGUAACUGACGCUGAGGUUCGAAAGCGUGGGUAGCAAACAGGAUUAGAUACCCUGGU
rnacentral:rRNA from 1 species